UCGCCCCUCGCUUCGCCUGGGCAGCUCGAGCCUGACCGUUGGAGGAUCUGGUUCGCCUCUUCCUGGCCGGACGGGAGAGAUGCAGGGGCGCGCGGUGGCCGACGGUUGAUGGAGGCUUGGUGCGUUCGGCUCCGUGUGAAGGAGAGAAGCGUGGAACCAUUGAGUGUUGCUGCAGCAAGUUCGCUUCUUAGCUUGAAUGAUGAUGAUCCAAGGGCUGCAAGUAUAUUUUGUCAUCCACGGCAGCCCCGGUUUGUUAGGCCUCGACUGCGGUUAUCAAUUCCCACUGAUUCUGAGUAGUUAUGCCUGUUAAUUUGGAUAGCUGACAUGUACUUCUGGCCAAUGUAAAGAGGAAACCAACCAACAUGAAUAUUUUCUUAGUUUAACCUAUUGUACAAACAAACUACAGAAGUUUCAAGUGCUGGACAAUGUGGAUACACAUAGAAGAUAUCUGAUGACAUACUCUCUAACAGGAACUAAAGGCUUGGCGGAAUUUUGUGGCAGCAUCAUGUACAUUUGAACUGAAUUUUACUGGGUAUACGGACUGGUGGGCGGAGAUGAGCCGCUUUGCAUGCUUCAGGCCAGCGUCGGCAGAUAGAUUGUUGUUUCUGGAAAGGCAACAAGGCAGAUAGAUUGUUGUUUCUGGAAAGGCAACAAGGCAGAUAGAUUGUUGUUUCUGGAAAGGCAACAAGGCACCAAACUGAAGGCCUAUUCUAGGUGAUCGACCGAUGCCCUGCGGCCGGAGAUGAGCUGCUUUGCAUGCUUCAGGCCAGCGUCUGCAGUGGACGACGAGGACGGCGACGUGAAGGAGGCGGCGCCAUUGCCGUUGCAGCCG